rnacentral:rRNA from 1 species
UUACUAUGGAGAGUUUGAUCCUGGCUCAGGAUGAACGCUAGCGGCAGGCUUAAUACAUGCAAGUCGAGGGGGCAGCAAUGUCACCGGCGAACGGGUGCGUAACGCGUAUGCAACCUACCUACAUCAGGGGGAUAGCCCUAGGAAACUGGGAUUAACACCGCAUAAUACUAGACACGGCAUCGUGCUUAGUUGAAAUAUUUAUAGGAUGUAGAUGGGCAUGCGUAGGAUUAGCUAGUUGGUAAGGUAACGGCUUACCAAGGCUACGAUCCUUAGGGGCUCUGAGAGGAGUAUCCCCCACACUGGCACUGAGAUACGGGCCAGACUCCUACGGGAGGCAGCAGUAGGGACUAUUGGGCAAUGGAGGCAACUCUGACCCAGCCAUGCCGCGUGCAGGAAGACGGUCCUCUGGAU